UACGAAGGGUGCAAGCGUUACUCGGAAUUACUGGGCGUAAAGCGUGCGUAGGCGGUUUGUUAAGUCCGCUGUGAAAGCCCUGGGCUCAACCUGGGAAUUGCAUUGGAUACUGGCAGGCUAGAGUGCGGUAGAGGAUGGCGGAAUUCCCGGUGUAGCAGUGAAAUGCGUAGAGAUCGGGAGGAACAUCUGUGGCGAAGGCGGCCAUCUGGACCAGCACUGACACUGAGGCACGAAAAGCGUGGGGGAGCAAACAGG
rnacentral:rRNA from 1 species